UCCAGGGUAGCCUAGUGGACAUGGCAUCUGCCCGGGAACAGGGUGGGUUCGAUUCCCAUCCCUGGAC